rnacentral:rRNA from 1 species
GUCUUCGGCCAUGCCGCCCUGAACAAGCCUGAUCUCGGAAGCUAAGCAGGGUCGGGCCUGGUGAGUACUUGGAUGGGAGACCGCCUAGGAAGACCGGGUGCUGCAGGCG